GACGUAGGGGGCAAGCGUUGUCCGGAAUCAUUGGGCGUAAAGCGCUCGUAGGUGGAUCGGUAAGUCUGCAAAGAAAGACCCGGGCUCAACUCGGGGAACGGUGUGGAUACUACCGAUCUUGAGGCAAUCAGAGGAUGAUGGAAUUCCCGGUGUAGCGGUGAAAUACGUAGAUAUCGGGAGGAACACCAGUGGCGAAGGCGAUCAUCUGGGGUUGUUCUGACACUGAGGAGCGAAAGCUAGGGGAGCAAACGGG
rnacentral:rRNA from 1 species